GUGACAGCGGGGCCCGUCAGCUGAGUGGAGGAGACGGUGCAGAUGGACUGCGAGUACUGAGGCUCCUCCUCACAGCUUUCCUCAGUAAGUGUCAGUUCACUGAGGUGGACGCCCUCCAGCUCCGCAUACUGCGGCCCAGAGAAGAGCCUCAUCACCGCAGAGACCCGGGGAACCUGCAGCACUGUUUCCUUGAAGGGAGGAGAUGAUCUGCAGCAUCCUGGUGAUCUUCAUCCUGACCUCCUGUGUCUGUGGUCAGUUCACUUUUGGGUUUGUAAAGCAGCUGUGAAGCAUCAGCACACACUCCUCAGAAACAUCUGGAGAUGGAGUCUAGUUUGUCUGGACCCGGUGAACCCCGUCUCCGGAUAGCCCUAUUGUGCAGACGAACGCACUGUAUCCGCACACUGUAUCCGCACAAGUGAGUAAACUUGAAAUCCGAUUGCUUUUGGUGUUCGUCUGCACGCUAUCCGCAUACCUAAUUGGAUUGCAUCACGUGAUUGCAUGCAACCUCACGCUGAACCCUUGUUAACCCCAAUGCGUCACUUCAUAACAACGACAACAAUGGCGAACGCAAGGAUAAUGUGCCUGCUGAAUGUGCUAACAAGUCUACAAUGCGUACUACGGGAAUAUCUAUAAUAUUUGUAUACGGCGCGCAUGUCUUAUACGCAUGCUCCUGUCUUCUCCUUCCGUUUUCUUCAGUUGUCUGUAGCACCUUAAAGCGCCACCAACAGGCGUGGGGGAUGUACUACAGCGGAGUCAAUCGGAUUCACUGGGUUCAUGUGCACGCGAUUUAAAAAGUGCGUAGGUGUGAAAAAUGUACCCGGGUUCAGGCAAACUAGAGUCCGUCUGCAUGGGGUCUAAAGGCUCCAUGUUAAAGCUGUCAGUUUGUCACCUCCUCUUCUCCUUCUCUGCCUCCUCAGCAGGGACAUUUGUAGUGAAUGUGACACAGAGCUGGUAUCAGGCAGAGGAGAACCACAACAUCUCACUAGAAUGGAUGUUCCCCACCAGCACGGACCACUUCACCAACUCCCUUUAUAUCUCCUGUGAGAUGUUAACUGAUGACAAACCCUCAGUCCUGUUUCAUCUAUAUGAAGGUGUCGAGGUCCCAGAGUUUCAGGAUGAACGCUUUGAUAGCCUGACUUCCAUCAUCAGGUUAAUUUAUUUUGGCUAAUGGAACAUUUGAUGGACUUAGUUGAACCAUGUAUGAGGAACGGGGCGCAGAUUUCUAAUCAGCAACAGAUGAAACAUCAUCCACACCUUAUUCAUCUUUAAAUGUUUACACAAGAAGAGUCUGAGGUUCUGACAUCAAGGUCCGACUGCUGCUAAUUAGACCAAGUAUUGUUGUCCUCAAUAUACAUGUUGUCUAAAUGUUUAUUCUAUUCUUUGCACUUUGUUGCACUGGAGACAAACGUUUUUUUGACUGCUCUGUAUGUUUGGUACAUUGGAAUUUAUAUUAAAG
ensembl:lncRNA